CAAUCGAACGUGGAGAUAGCUGGUUCUCCCCGAAAUAGCUUUAGGGCUAGCCUCAUGGCGAGAGUACAGGCGGUAGAGCACUGAACAGGGUAGGGGCCUAUCCGGCUACUGAACCUAAUCAAACUGCGAAUGGCUGUACUUAUCCAUGGGAGUCAGACUGUGAGUAAUAAGGCCCAUAGUCAAGAGGGAAACAGCCCAGACCAACAGCUAAGGUCCCCAAUGCCGUACUAAGUGGCGAAGGAUGUGGAAUUUCAAAAACAACCAGGAUGUUGGCUCAGAAGCAGCCACCAUUAAAAGAGUGCGUAAUAGCUCACUGGUCGAGAGACUCUGCGCCGAAGAUGUCCGGGGCUAAAGUACGGAACCGAAGCUUUGGCAAUUAACUUAUGUUAAUUGGGUAGGGGAGCGUUCCUGCAUGGGAGAAGCCUGACCGGAAGGACAGGUGGACAGGCAGGAAGAGAGAAUGCCGGUAUGAGUAGCGAAAAGAAGGGUGAGAAUCCCUUCCACCGAAAGCCUAAGGGUUCCUGGGCAACGAUCGUCGUCCCAGGGUAAGUCGGGACCUAAUCCGAGGCGGAGACGCGCAGGAGAUGGACAACAGGUUGAAAUUCCUGUACUGGCUGAUUUCGUUUGAGCAAGGGAGUGACACAGGAAGGAAGGCGCGCGUGCGAUUGGAAGAGCACGUCCAAGCAGGUAGGUGGGAAGAUAGGCAAAUCCGUCUUCCCAAAAGCUGAGAUGCGAUGGGGAGCGACUGGAAACAGUCGUGAAGGGGCUGGCACUAAACUGUCGAGAAAAGCUUCUAGUGAGAAAUCAGGCACCCGUACCGAAACCGACACAGGUAGGCAGGAUGAGAAUUCUAAGGUGCGCGGGAAAACCCUCGUUAAGGAACUCGGCAAAAUGUAUCCGUAACUUCGGGAAAAGGAUAACCCGGCGUACGUGAAGUGCAGAAGCGCACGGAGCGGAACCGGGUGGCAGAAGAGAGGCCCAAGCGACUGUUUACCACAAACACAGGCGUCUGCUAAAGCGAAAGCUGAUGUAUAGAUGCUGACACCUGCCCGGUGCUGGAAGGUUAAGAGGAAGUGUUAGCGCAAGCGAAGCAGUGAAUUGAAGCCCCAGUAAACGGCGGCCGUAACUAUAACGGUCCUAAGGUAGCGAAAUUCCUUGUCGGGUAAGUUCCGACCCGCACGAAAGGUGUAACGAUUUGGGCACUGUCUCAACGAGGGACCCGGUGAAAUUGAAAUACCUGUGAAGAUGCAGGUUACCCGCGACUGGACAGAAAGACCCCAUGGAGCUUUACUGUAACCUGAGAUUGGAUUCCGGUAAGAGAUGUACAGGAUAGUUGGGAGGCGGAGAAGCAAGUACGCCAGUAUUUGCCGAGCCGAUGGUGGGAUACCAACCUUGUUUUAUUGGAAUUCUAACGAGAAGUUUAACAGACUUGCGGACAGUCUCAGGCGGGCAGUUUGACUGGGGCGGUCGCCUCCGAAAGAGUAACGGAGGCGCCCAAAGGUUCCCUCAGCGCGGACGGAAACCGCGCGAAGAGUGCAAAGGCAGAAGGGAGCUUGACUGCGAGACGGACAGGUCGAGCAGGGACGAAAGUCGGGCUUAGUGAUCCGGUGGUAGAGAGUGGAAUUGCCAUCGCUCAACGGAUAAAAGCUACCCUGGGGAUAACAGGCUUAUCUCUCCCAAGAGUCCAUAUCGACGGGGAGGUUUGGCACCUCGAUGUCGGCUCAUCACAUCCUGGGGCUGAAGUAGGUCCCAAGGGUUGGGCUGUUCGCCCAUUAAAGUGGUACGCGAGCUGGGUUCAGAACGUCGUGAGACAGUUCGGUCCCUAUCCAUCGCGGGCGGAAGAAACUUGAAAGGGGCUGCUCCUAGUACGAGAGGACCGGAGUGGACCGACCAAUGGUGUACCAGUCAUGGCGCCAGCCGUGCAGCUGGGUAGCUACGUCGGGGACGGAUAAACGCUGAAAGCAUCUAAGCGUGAAACCAGCCUAAAGAUGAGGUUUCUCAUUGU
rnacentral:rRNA from 1 species